GGCCACUUUACGAUGGGCAUACAUUCUGAGAAGUGCAUCGUUAGGCGAUUUUGUCAUUGUAUGAACAUCACAGAGUGUGCUUCCAGAAGCCUA